rnacentral:precursor_RNA from 1 species
GCGCCAUAGCCUCCGAGAUCCCGAAGCGUGCGCGCGCUUCGGGAUCUCUGAGGCUAUGGCUGCG